GACGAACGCUGGCGGCGUGCUUAACACAUGCAAGUCGAACAGACAGACAGAGAGCUUGCUCUCUUGAAGUUAGUGGCGAACGGGUGAGUAACGCGUAAUCAACCUGCCCUUCAGAGGGGGAUAACAACGGGAAACCGUUGCUAAUACCGCGUACGAUUCAUGAACGGCAUCGUUUAUGAAUGAAAGGUGGCCUCUAUGUAUAAGCUAUCGCUGAAGGAGGGGAUUGCGUCUGAUUAGCUAGUUGGAGGGGUAACGGCCCACCAAGGCAAUGAUCAGUAGCCGGUCUGAGAGGAUGAACGGCCACAUUGGGACUGAGACACGGCCCAAACUCCUACGGGAGGCAGCAGUGGGGAAUCUCCCGCAAUGGACGAAAGUCUGACGGAGCAACGCCGCGUGAGUGAUGAAGGUCUUCGGAUUGUAAAGCUCUGUUAAUCGGGACGAAAGAGUUCUGCGUGAAUAAUGCAGAAAAGUGACGGUACCGGAAUAGAAAGCCACGGCUAACUACGUGCCAGCCGCCGCAGUAA
rnacentral:rRNA from 1 species